rnacentral:rRNA from 1 species
GAUGAACGCUGGCGGCGUGCCUAAUACAUGCAAGUCGAGCGAACGGACGAGGAGCUUGCUUCUCUGAUGUUAGCGGCGGACGGGUGAGUAACACGUGGAUAACCUACCUAUAAGACUGGGAUAACUUCGGGAAACCGGAGCUAAUACCGGAUAAUAUUUUGAACCGCAUGGUUCAAAAGUGAAAGACGGUCUUGCUGUCACUUAUAGAUGGAUCCGCGCUGCAUUAGCUAGUUGGUAAGGUAACGGCUUACCAAGGCAACGAUGCAUAGCCGACCUGAGAGGGUGCUCGGCCACUGUGGCACUGAGACGCGCUCCACACUCAUACGGGACGCAGCAGUAGGGUAUCCUGCGCUAUGGGCGAACGCCUGACGGCGCCACGCCGCGUGAGUGAUGAAGGUCUGGGGCUCGUAACACUCUGUUAUGAGAGAAGAACAUAUGUGUGAGUAACUGCGCAUCUUGACGCUGUCCCUAAACAGAGCGCCGCCUAACUCUGUG